ACUUGCUUCCUUUGCUGGCGACCGGCGCACGGGUGAGUAACACGUAUCCAACCUGCCCUUUACUCGGGGAUAGCCUUUCGAAAGAAAGAUUAAUACCCGAUAGUAUAAUGAUUCCGCAUGGUUUCAUUAUUAAAGGAUUCCGGUAAAGGAUGGGGAUGCGUUCCAUUAGGUUGUUGGUGAGGUAACGGCUCACCAAGCCUUCGAUGGAUAGGGGUUCUGAGAGGAAGGUCCCCCACAUUGGAACUGAGACACGGUCCAAACUCCUACGGGAGGCAGCAUG
rnacentral:rRNA from 1 species